GUGGGGCUGCCUCCCGGUAGGGUCUAGCACCCUGCGUGGCUCCCGCUCUGCGGGGCAAAGGACGGGGACGGGAUGGAGUCCCGGGGCAAGGGAGCCCCGCUGCCCUCGGUGCCAAUCAGGGAUCCCGCAGAACCGGCCUGAGGCCGGGGCAGGCCAAGGGGCACGAAGAGGGGGGCGGGGCGGGGCCAGGACCCUGUCCCGGACCCCCUGUCCCACUCCCGGCGCCACGGGGCCGCUCCCAGGGCAAGAGCAGCCCCACAUCCCCCACCGCGCCCGCCCGAGCUAAGAGGGCUCCGCAGGCGCGACAGCCCCUUCCCGCGGAGCGGGUUCCGGGGCCCUGCGGUUUCCUGUCUCGCUCUGCGUAGGCCCGACAAGGCCGGGCCGCGGGCUGUACAGCACUAACCAUCUGACAUGACAGGAGCAUGCCAGUAGCAGGCAGCUCCAGGCAUCUCCCCUGGCUCCAGCGCUCUCUGCCAUGACCCCCAGGAGCCCUCCAUCCUGCUCCGCAUGGCCUCAUCCCUCCCAGCUCGGCCUGGGAAGGAUGCUCAGCGAUGGCUGGAGCAGCUGGCCAGAUCUUGCUUUUAUUGCAGACCCAGCACUGGAAACUGGAGAAACUGGACAUCCUCACCCCUUUUCUCACCUUCUUGGGGACCAUCCUGUGGAACUCUAGCUGCUGUGUGUCAGCCAGCUGAAGGCCAAGCUGGACGGCCAGUAGCAUCCCAGUGGAUGGACGGUGAAGCCCCUAUGCAUCUGGUUGGACCUCAUCUUGACCUUCUGGCCAGGGCAUCCUGUGGUGAUGGGCCCCAGACACAUAUUCCCUAUGAGGUCAUGCAUAGGAAAUCCCCAAACAUGGCUGGUGAGACACCUGGAGGCUCCCUGUGA
ensembl:lncRNA